AUAUGAGACGAGUAGAUCCUUUUCUAGAAAUGGUUGUUGGGUGUGUCCACUCUCUUGAUAUUCUCCGUUCUCCCCUUCACCAUCCUCUUCAUCCAACCAACCAACCGCAGUCUUCUAGACGGAGAAGGUGCUAAGAAGAAAGGGGAAAAGUGGAUUGAAGAAACUGUAAAAAACUGGGGAAAUCUUCACUCAGUCAGGAUACUUUUAAGCGGAAGCAGUGUUCUGGUCGCAGGAGUUUACUGGUUCAACAAGAUUCAUCCAUUCCUCUAAACUAGCGGAAUAAUACUUCCUCUAGUCUAGCGGAAUAAUAUUCUCUAGUCUAGCGGAAUAAUACUUCUUCUAAUCUAGCUGAAUAAUGCUUUUUCUAAUCAAGCGGAAAAUUUUGUUCGGUUUAAGAUUAUGUAUACUGCAACUUGCGAGUAGGGUUUCCAUUCGCAAAACUUUUGUCCAAUUUUUUCAAAAGAAAGCGCCAAGUUUUGCUUUUGUUGCGCUACAUUUUUGUGCAAAAAAUAUCACUUUGCGCAAUCAUUCACAAACUUAUUUUCGUGCAAAACCGCGUUAUUCCGCUUUUGUGUAAUUCUGUUUUGCGCAAUUUUUCGGAACAGAUUCUCAGUAAAAGGUUCAAUAAAGGUUUAAAUUGUA